AAGUCGAGGGGUAACAUAGGAAAGCUUGCUUUUCUGAUGACGACCGGCGCACGGGUGCGUAACGCGUAUACAACCUACCUUUUAGCGGGGAAUAGCCCAGGGAAACUUGGAUUAAUGCCCCAUAGUAUAUAGACUUCUCCUGAAGUUUAUAUUUAAACAUUUAUGGCUAUUAGAUGGGUAUGCGUCCUAUUAGUUAGUUGGUAAGGUAACGGCUUACCAAGGCAGCGAUAGGUAGGGGUCCUGAGAGGGAGAUCCCCCACACUGGUACUGAGACACGGACCAGACUCCUACGGGAGGNCAGCAGUGAGGAAUAUUGGACAAUGGGCGAGAGCCUGAUCCAGCCAUGCCGCGUGCAGGAAGACUGCCCUAUGGGUUGUAAACUGCUUUUACAGAGGAAGAACCACCCCCACGUGUGGGGGUUUGACGGUACUCUGCGAAUAAGGAUCGGCUAACUCCGUG
rnacentral:rRNA from 1 species